GAUGAACGCUGGCGGCGUGCCUAAUACAUGCAAGUCGAGCGAACAGACGAGGAGCUUGCUCCUCUGACGUUAGCGGCGGACGGGUGAGUAACACGUGGAUAACCUACCUAUAAGACUGGGAUAACUUCGGGAAACCGGAGCUAAUACCGGAUGAUAUAUUGAACCGCAUGGUUCAAUAGUGAAAGACGGUCUUGCUGUCACUUAUAGAUGGAUCCGCGCCGCAUUAGCUAGUUGGUAAGGUAACGGCUUACCAAGGCAACGAUGCGUAGCCGACCUGAGAGGGUGAUCGGCCACACUGGAACUGAGACACGGUCCAGACUCCUACGGGAGGCAGCAGUAGGGAAUCUUCCGCAAUGGGCGAAAGCCUGACGGAGCAACGCCGCGUGAGUGAUGAAGGUCUUCGGAUCGUAAAACUCUGUUAUUAGGGAAGAACAAAUGUGUAAGUAACUAUGCACGUCUUGACGGUACCUAAUCAGAAAGCCACGGCUAACUACGUG
rnacentral:rRNA from 1 species